CGGCACGGGUGAGUAACACGUAUCCAACCUGCCGUCUACUCUUGACAGCCUUCUGAAAGGAAGAUUAAUACAAGAUGGCAUCAUGAGUCCGCAUGUUCACAUGAUUAAAGGUAUUCCGGUAGACGAUGGGGAUGCGUUCCAUUAGAUAGUAGGCGGGGUAACGGCCCACCUAGUCUUCGAUGGAUAGGGGUUCUGGGAGGAAGGUCCCCCACAUUGGAACUGAGACACGGUCCAA
rnacentral:rRNA from 1 species